CACUCCUGGGGCACUCACCUUCUGCUUCUCCUUUGCCUGUUCUUUAUAUUUUCCCAAAAGCUGCCUAUAAUUCACAUCUGGACACGUGCUCCUUUCCUGCACAAAAACAUCCCAAGACCUGCUCUGGCUGAGCAAAUUUCCCUGCCAGGAGCAGAACAAGAGGUUACAAUAGAUCUACUGCUUUUCCCUCUGGAAAUGGACCCAUCAAUGAUGUUCAUGGGAGCAACUUGCAGCUUAACAGCUCUGGCAUUAGCACAGAAAGGCAGUUCCCAGGACAUGAGAAUGCCAGCAGGGUCUUCAGAGGAACUAUGAGCGUGGUGCUCUUGCAGAACCAACAGGGGCCACACCCUCCUUUUAUAAGCUUUGGGACUAUGAAGAGGAGGUCAGACUUGUACUGGGGAACUCUUUUUGCAGCCUUGCAUGUUGGGGACGUUCUCCUUCAAACCACAUUUGAUGGAAACCACAAAAAAGCCCACUGCUAAUGUGUGGUACAGCCA